UAACUUCUUAAGGUGGAAACAUAGGUCACAGAUUAUGGGCCAUUCUUAUUUACUGUAAAAACAUUUAAAGCUCCUUCUGCAGGCAGGAGAGUUAGCUAGCCACCCAAGAAAAUAUCAUGAAAGAUACCGAUAUCAAGAGACUACUGUAUACCCAUCUUUAUGCAUAUUUUCAAUUAUCCUAAGUGUCUUCAUUCCAUCACUCUUCUUGGAGAACUUCUCAAUAUUGGAAACACACUUGACAUGGUUGUGCAUCUGUUCUGGUUUUGUAACUGCUGUCAGUCUAGUCCUAUAUUUAGUAGUGAAACCAAAUACAUCCUCUAAAAGAAGUUCAUUAUCACACAAGGUAACCAGAUUUUUGAAAUGCCGUGUCUACUUUCUUAUGUCUUGUUUCUCCUUUCACGUAAUUUUUGUUCUAUAUGGAGCACCACUAAUAGAGUUGGCAUUGGAAACAUUUUUAUUUGCAGUUAUUUUGUCUACUUUCACUAUUGUGCCUUGCUUAUGUUUGUUAGGACCAAACCUCAAAGCAUGGCUAAGAGUUUUCAGUAGAAAUGGAGUUACAUCCAUAUGGGAGAAUAGUCUCCAGAUCACUACAAUUUCUAGUUUUGUAGGAGCAUGGCUUGGAGAACUUCCUAUUCCUUGAUUGGGAAAGACCAUGGCAGGUAUGGCCCAUCUCCUGUACGCUUGGAGCGACAUUUGGCUACGUGGCUGGCCUUGUUAUUUCACCACUCUGGAUAUACUGGAAUAGAAAGCAACUUACAUACAAGAACAAUUAACUGGAGCAAAGGGAGAUAUUUCUUUGUGCAGAUUCUGUAAGGGCUAUGCAGAAAUGUGUAUGGUCAAAGCCAAGCAGUUCCAUUUACAGCACUGUUUUUUAUGUAGUUACAACAGGGUGUGAUUGUAGCUUUUUAAACUAUGAAACCCCUGAGAGAUUGUACCUUCUAGUUGAAAUAAAGUAUUUAUAAUAGAAAAAAAAUAUUUAAAGCUAUGGAAUUUCCUCUAAGCAUUGCUUUGGCUGUAACACGUAAAAUACUAUCUCAUUCCAUUGUGAUUUCCUCUUUGACUUCUCAGAGUUUACAAAUCCACUGCUUAAUUUUCAAACACGAGGAUUUCCCAAAUAGUUGAAAUGUAAUUCUUUAGGUG